UUGGGCGCGCGACCCGGGGGCCGGCGCGGGUGCGGCCGGGGAGGGUCUUGCGUCCGCGCGGGUUCGAAGGUGGUGGCGGAGCCGCCUGGAUGGCUUCUUUCUUUCCUCGGGAAGUUUUCUCAGAUUCGUGGAACCACGUGUGGAGCGUCGGCGUUUUCACAAGUGCUUUUGUCAGGAAAGGAAUUAGUGAGAACUGAGGCCUUUUCGAGCCACAGGGACUCGACGAAUGACGAGUUUUUCUCCCUUCAGAGAGAAGGGUCCCUCUUCAGAGCCAGUCUCUCGGUGUGGGAAGCCUCUGAGGCCCUCCCCGAGGAACCUUCUCGACCUUUCUGGGGUUGGAAUCACUUGUUCCCUGCUCCCAAGAUGGCGCCACGGGAUGGAGGAGGGAAUUCAUCAUUGCCCCAACCCCCAACCCUUCCAAACACGUGGAGACAGUGAUUGCUGCACGGAUGCAGCUUCUGCAGAAUGCCUUGAACCUCACUUCCAAGCUAGACUUGGCGUCCUUGAACCCGUGGAAAUCCUGGAGCAGCACUCCUGUUGUUGGGGCCACUGCAGGUCACCAACAGAGUGCCUCUCGUGGCUUACGAGUUUGAUCCCAGUGCUUGCCCAGAGGGUGAUGUUCGCAGAAGUGAAGUUGUCCCAUUCUUUUUUUUAAUAUAUAUAAUAUUCAUUCAUUCAUUUGAGACACAGAGAGAGACACAGGCAGAGGGAGAAGCAGGCUCCAUGCAGGGAGCCUGACCUGGGACUCGAUCCCAGGAUUCCAGGAUCACGCCCUGGGUGGAAGGCACGCGCUAAACCGCUGAGCCACCCAGGGAUCCCCAAGUUGUCCCAUUCUUGAUUUCAGAACCACACUCUGUUCACUAGGGCCAGGUAAUCCAGCUGUCCAAGGAGCACUAAUGCAUUGGAAGUAAUUGGUUUUAUUUUGCCCCAUGGCUACAAAGUCUUUGGUCCUAGAGAGAUGGAGGACAAAUGAGAGAGCAGAAAGAUCGUUUUACAUUAAUUUACCUCCCUCCUGUUUUAAAUUAUUUUACCUCCCUCCCAGUGACAUUUUGGCAGAGGAAGGACAGCACACAUGGAUGCAAGGAUGCCUCGUGUGUCUGCAAGUUACAUGAACCAAUCCAGAAGUAUGUAGAGUUGGUAUCCAGAGCUAAAAUACCAACUUUUAUUUAGAUCCCACCUCCUUACAAAAGACGGUUCUCUUUGAAGGAGUUUAUAAUCUGGAUAGAAGAGGAUAACAUACAAAUCAGUAAACCUUGAUGAAGGUGUUGAUACAAGGACGGUGCCAGGGCUGGCCUCCUGAUACCUGCAGGGUCCAGAGCAUUUCCUAUGAUCCAGUCAUGCUCUGGUUAUAAGAGACAUUGGAGUUCCAAAGAGGGCAGGCAGGAAUUGGCGUUCCUUGGUACCCUGAUAAUGGUACCUGAGCAGACGUGGCUCCCCCAGCCUCUUCCAGCCUGUCACUGAGGUCUUCGAGGUCCCGGGACAGGUCGCUGCGUUGUUUCUCCACCUGGGGAAGAUUGAGUGACCGUGACAGGAGCCAUGCAGGAGCCCCUCCUUCUCUGCUUGCAGGUCAUCAAGGGUUUUCUGGAGGAAAAGAUACACAACGUGUGUCCCAUGAACCAUGCAGGAGCAGCUGAAUAGACCUGGUUCUCGGUCAUCACUUCUGAGCUCAGUGGACAGCUACCAUGCUCCUGCCCCUACUGUCAGCUCCUUUACCCUGCUGAGCAGCUCCUGUGUCUUGGACAUGGCGUUCCUCAGCUCCUCCUCCUUGGCCUUCAUCUCCUCCUCUUGACGAGCCACGUUCAGGAGCGGCUUGACCUGAGUGGUGUGGAUUGACCUUCAUCCAGCCUCAGCCCUUGAUGUGAAUGACUGGCCUUGACCAGGGAAAUCCUGAGCUACAUGAAGAGCUCCCUACAAGGGUGUCUGGUCUCUCCUUGCUCAAGGGCACAUAUCCCCUGGCCAUUGCCUGGUGGAAGAGGGGCUCCAUGUGCUCAGGUAAUUGGAAAUACAUUCAUUUCUGCUUCCCAUUUUGCCACGUGGCCCUAGCUGGAGGGGCAAAGAGGAAGCACUUUUCAGAUUCUUCCAAUGAGCAUAGGGAACUGAGGGAAGCAGAUAAGAAGCUAAAACUUUUGGGCUUUCCUUCUCUUAUGUAGUAUAGACAUUCAUCACCUCCAGGCCUUCUUAGAAGGGCAUAGGCCCCAUUAGACUUUGAAUAUUCCAUUGCUACAGAUCCAGAGCUCUUCGCAUUUUAUUGUGGGAGGUGAGGUAGUGCACCACAAUCAGCUGUUUGCUUUAGGCACUGGCGUGAUUCAUUUUGCAAGUAAUUGGUAUUGUUAUGGUUGAUGAGAUCAUAAAAUCUUGGCUCCAGUGCCCAAUCCAACAGCAGCUUUCCUGACAGCUCUGUCCUAAGGCUGCUGUUUCUCUGCAGUUAAACCCACAGAGGCUCAACGAACUCUGGUGGUAACAGGAGCAUUGGCAUUUACGGCAAUACUGCAAUCCCAAGGAAACCAAACUCAUUCUUGAAAGCUAGCUGAACAAACGUCUCCCCUAUCAAUUAUUCAAAUAGAACCUGAGUCCUGGCUGCACUUAAUUCCUUCUUCCCCAAGGACUACGUUUGUCAUGAAUGAAAAAGCCAGUUUGGAGAUGUCAUUUUGUUGGUUUGGUGGC